GUGACAAGGCACAGGUUGAGUCAAAGGAGUUUAUCGGAGUUUGGUGGGAAGAGGAUCACUGAUCGAGACAACAGCACAGCAGCAUAUGUUUUCAUGUCUCCUCUCAACACACCUGUAAAGGUUUCCACUUCCUGUGACACCAUCACACCAUGCCUGAGGGGGCGGGCCGAGGCAGCCAGAGAAAGCCCAGCAACCAAGGUCAGAGGUCAACACUGACACUGUCACACCUGUGACGUUAUUGUUGUGUGACGUCAGAGUAUUCUAUUCAACCUCAGAUGUUUUAAUAUACUCUAUGUCAAUGUAUGCAAAAUAUUAAUGUACCUACUGUAAAUUCAUAUUUACAAUGUCUUUAUCUUGUUUGGUUAUAUAGUUAAAGAUGCACCCCGGGAUCUUAAGCACAAUACAUUUGUAACGAGUUGCACAAAUUGGAUUCGUAAAACAUAUCACACAAAAUGGAUGACGUCGUACACAAUUGGAUGACGUCGUACACAAUUGGAUGACGUCGUACACCAUUGGAUGACGUCGUACACAAUUGGAUGACGUCGUACACUAAAAAACGGGGACCCGUUUUGGCUCUUGAGCACCACUUUCAAAACUACUGGCUGAAACUAUACAAACGUUUGAGAGUGCAUCUUUAAUGAUAAAGGAAGAGCUCAGUAAUGAGCUCGCAUUAUGAAGAGCCACUAAGGUGCAUUUCUGGUGUAACAUUGGAGUUCUUGGGAUAGAAUUAGAGUGCAUGUUCUGUUUCCUGUAUGUUCCGUGGCCGCUCGCAAAGUAUAAUGUUGAACAAUGUUUAGGGGUAAAAAGAGAAAAAAUCUCUCUAUUCAGAUUAUACAGAAGAAAAUAGGCUACAGAGCACGCCCAAGAUAAGGGUGUCCAGUUAGCAUAAGAAUGACAACAUGUCCAAAUUGUCAAAUUGACAAGACGGAAGUGGUGAGACUAUGGGAGGGCACUGCACGUGACUAUAUUUAGGCCUUAGUCUGCCCCUCUCCCACACCCCAAGUUUUCCCAACAAAGAGAGUGCUUAUAUUAACGGAGUCGAUCGUGACUGAAAAUGUUGUGCAAAUGCACAUACAAUGUGAAUUGUUUAAGGGUGUUCACUUCUCAUUGGAAAGUCCUCUGUAAACAUAGGGAAGUCGGAAGGCCUUAGAGUGGCCUAGCUUUGGCUCAGCGUUGUGAAGGUUCACAAGAUCCGAUUUAUGGGAUUUAUUGUACUGCAUUGCAGGGUCAUUUAUUCCAACAUAGAAAAUACUGUUUCGCAUAAUGAAAAGUAUGUUGCACUGCUUUUAUAGGUAUUUUAAUGGAUUUGUUUUUUCACCCUUUAUUUAACCAGGAAAGCCCUUUAGUCGUUCCGGUGUCCGCUAUAGUUUCACUCACUUCACGGGGUCUCCUUAUAUUAUGUAUUCUUUCAGGUUACUAGUACAGUCUCCUAACUCAUUUGUACCGUCUAAGGCAUUAUCUUUCACUGACUGCCUGUCCCUCAGGUGUAUUUAGCUCAAGUGAGAAUGUUUGCUUUGCAGAAUGCCCAGUGAGUUUCAUCUAGAUUAACACCCAGAAACACAGCGUGCUUGUUCGUCGUACUCACGGAGCCCAGUGGAGGCCCACCAGGCAGCCCACUGUACUUUAUGUCAAACACAUCUCACAGAGACUCAGCCAGAGGAAAAGAGAGCUACUUUGUUGCCCUUUGAGCACUAGGUCAGUGUGACUUUGCCAGUUUGUGGUUAGUCGGACUCC
ensembl:lncRNA